CCUACGGGUGGCAGCAGUUAGGAAUAUUGCGCAAUGGGCGAAAGCCUGACGCAGCAACGCCGCGUGAGGGAUGAAUGCUUUCGGGUUGUAAACCUCUUUCAGUGGGAAAGAAAUUGACGGUACCCACAGAAGAAGCUCCGGCCAACUACGUGCCAGCAGCCGCGGUAAUACGUAGGGAGCAAGCGUUGUCCGGAUUUAUUGGGCGUAAAGAGCUCGUAGGCGGUUUAGUAAGUCGGGUGUGAAAACUCUGGGCUCAACCCAGAGACGCCACUUGAUACUGCUAUGACUUGAGUUUGGCAGGGGAACACGGAAUUCCUGGUGUAGCGGUGAAAUGCACAGAUAUCAGGAGGAACACCGAUGGCGAAGGCAGUGUUCUGGGCCAAAACUGACGCUGAGGAGCGAAAGCGUGGGGAGCGAACAGGAUUAGAUACCCCGGUAGUC
rnacentral:rRNA from 1 species